CUUUGCUGUCAGCACUAGCCCUGCUUUAACUCAAAUCCAGUCAGCCAUAGUGAAUUAUAGUAUGUUUUGUUUAUACUGUUGUAAGUUAUUUCAUAUAUUUUCUAUAUGUGUUUUUCCCUUACCAGAACGGAAUGAUCUGUGGGGACACUUUUCAAAAAAGCUUCUUUGAGUGGCUCUGAAAUUGAUCAGGUCUGUGAUAUACAGUACUUUGCCUGCCCAGCCUGUUCCCCGGCAUGCUUGCAGUGUCAGUGGACGGGAACAAGAAUCUGUAUCGAUUCAAAAAAGGGGUUAUGGAAAAGGGGUAUGUGGAGCAUCCCAGUGAACAGCAGCUAAAGAGUCGUCAAGGAAAACAAACAACAAACUUGAUGAAGAGGGACUUGAAGUUGCCGUCUGCCGCCACGGAAUCCUUCUAAGGAGCCUCAACAUGAUGCGUGGAGGGAUCUUGCGUACCCAUUGUUCUUGCAGAAGGAAUUGUCUGGCAGCAGGAACAUACAAUUCAUGUGUACGGAUGUGAUCUGCAAAUUUUGGCCAUACCUGACCAAAGUUGCCCUUCAUUGUCCAGAGCUCGCCACUCUUCUAGACAUGAAGCCACUUCUUUCCGUCAUGCAUGCAAAGGCACAUCGUUUGAAAUGCGAGCAAGAACAGACAUGCUAUCCAUCCAGGC